rnacentral:lncRNA from 1 species
CAGUCUGUACGUGCAGCCAGGGUUUCCCCGUCCCAGGUGCAGGACCCGGCACUUGCUCUUAUUGAACUUCAUGCUUGAUGUCCUUGCAGCCUUUUCACACUAGCACUGAAAAUCCUCAGUGGUCCAAAUACAUCUAAAAUAUUUAGGUGCUGAUGCAAACUACUUCUAGAAAUGAGGAGAUUCUGCCAGCCUUGGCACUGUCUCCUGAAGGACUGCAGGAAGACUCAAAGUCUAGGCAGGUCAAAGCUACAACAAAGGAAAAGGGCAGGUGUUAAGAAGAAGGAAUGUGCUACAGAACAAGUAAAUCUUUUUAUUAUUUUUACAGUAUCUUGUCAUAAUGGUUUGAACAGGGCUAUUGUUUCAAGCACAAAGCAUUGCCAGGAACAUGCAAAACAUCUGAUAAUACAUUUUUGGUAGCACUUUUGUUUCUGCAGCUGUAUCUGAACUGGAGUGUUUAAACAUUGUGAUCAAAAAUAAAAAAUGAACAUUUUCUAUGAAGUAAUGAGAG